UGAGCAAUCUGCCCUUCUCAUCGGAAUAAGCGUUGGAAACGACGUCUAAUGCCGAAUACGACCUCCUUUCGCAUGAUCGGAGGUGGAAAGCUCCGGCGGAGAAGGAUGAGCUCGCGGCCUAUCAGCUAGUUGGUGUGGGUAACGCCCACCAAGGCGACGACGGGUAGCCGGCCUGAGAGGGUGACCGGCCACACUGGGACUGAGACACGGCCCAGACCUCCUACGGGAGNAG
rnacentral:rRNA from 1 species